GAGCAAAGGACGUAGGUGAGGGAGGAGGAAAUGAAGAAUUUAUACUGAAGGAACAACAAGGAUGACUUUUAGGAGGAGGGUGGUGAAUGGAAGAACCCUGAGACAAAGGAAGACAUCACCAGCCAGGGGAGGAUCACAGAAAGGAAGCCCUUUCGCCCUAGAAAUGUACCUGCUUGAGAAGCUCUGCAGUGUGUUGAGGAAAGAAGCAAUGAUACCAUGUGAGGGAAGUACAAUAGACUAGAAGUUGUGUCCCCCACUCCAAAUUUAUAUGAAAUCUUCAUCCCCAAGGUGAUGGUAUCAGGAGGUGGUGCCUUUGGGAGAUGAUUAGGUCAAGAGGUCAGAGCUCUCUUGAGUGGGAUUAGUGCCCUUAUAAAAGAGGCCUGAAGGCCGGGCGUGGUGGCUCAUGCCUGUAAUCUCAGCACUCUGGGAGGCCAAGGCAGACGGAUCAUCUGAGGUCGGGAGUUCGAGACCAGCCUGGCCAACAUGGUGAAAACCCAUCUCUACUAAAAAUACAAAAAUUAGCUGGGCGUGGUGUCAUGCGCCUGUAAUCCCAGCUACUCAGGAGGCUGACGCAGGAGAAUCGCUUCAAUCCCGUAGGCAGAGGUUUCACUGAGCCUAGAUCGAUCGCGCCACUGCACUCCAACCUGGGUGACAGAGUGAUACUCCGUCUCAAAAAACUAAACUAAAAUAAAUAAAUAAAAAAAAGAGGACUGAGGGAGAUCCCCUCGCCCCUUCCACCAUGUAAGGACACAGCUGGAAGGCACCAUUCUAUGAACCAGGUAACAGAUCCUCACCAGACAUCAAAACUGCUGGUACCUGAAUCUUGAACUUCAGCC
rnacentral:lncRNA from 1 species